rnacentral:rRNA from 1 species
AGAGUUUGAUCCUGGCUCAGGAUGAACGCUAGCUACAGGCUUAACACAUGCAAGUCGCGGGGCAUCAUGGAUUCAGCUUGCUGAAUUUGAUGGCGACCGGCGCACGGGUGAGUAACGCGUAUCCAACCUGCCCAUGUCCACGGGAUAGCCCGUCGAAAGGCGGAUUAAUACCCGUAUGAGGUCACAUGCCGGCAUCAGGAUGUGACGAAAGGUUUUGCGGACACGGAUGGGGAUGCGUCCGAUUAGCUUGUUGGCGGGGUAACGGCCCACCAAGGCGACGAUCGGUAGGGGUUCUGAGAGGAAGGUCCCCCACAUUGGAACUGAGACACGGUCCAAACUCCUACGGGAGGCAGCAGUGAGGAAUAUUGGUCAAUGGGCGCGAGCCUGAACCAGCCAAGUAGCGUGCAGGACGACGGCCCUAUGGGUUGUAAACUGCUUUUAUGCGGGGAUAAAGUUGGCGACGUGUCGCCUUUUGCAGGUACCGCAUGAAUAAGGACCGGCUAAUUCCGUGCCAGCAGCCGCGGUAAUACGGAAGGUCCGGGCGUUAUCCGGAUUUAUUGGGUUUAAAGGGAGCGUAGGCCGCCUUUUAAGCGUGUUGUGAAAAACCGGGGCUCAACUCCGGUCGUGCAGCGCGAACUGGAGGGCUUGAGUCCGCAGGAAGUGCGCGGAAUUCGUGGUGUAGCGGUGAAAUGCUUAGAUAUCACGAAGAACCCCGAUUGCGAAGGCAGCGCACUGUAGCGUCACUGACGCUGAAGCUCGAAAGUGCGGGUAUCGAACAGGAUUAGAUACCCUGGUAGUCCGCACGGUAAACGAUGG